CUACGGGACGCUGCAGUGGGGAAUAUUGGACAAUGGGGGAAACCCUGAUCCAGCAAUGCCGCGUGUGUGAAGAAGGCCUGCGGGUUGUAAAGCACUUUCGGUUGGGAGGACUGCUUCUAGCACUAAUAUUGUUGGAAGUUGACGUUACCUUCAGAAGAAGCACCGGCUAACUCCGUGCCAGCAGCCGCGGUAAUACGGAGGGUGCAAGCGUUAAUCGGAAUUACUGGGCGUAAAGCGCGCGUAGGCGGCUAGAUCAGUCGGGUGUGAAAGCCCCGGGCUUAACCUGGGAACUGCAUCCGAUACUGUCUAGAUUGAGUAGAGGAGAGGAGAGUGGAAUUCCACAUGUAGCGGUGAAAUGCGUAGAUAUGUGGAGGAACACCAAUGGCGAAGGCAGCUCUCUGGCCUGAUACUGACGCUGAGGUGCGAAAGCGUGGGGAACAAACAGGAUUAGAUACCCCAGUAGUC
rnacentral:rRNA from 1 species